rnacentral:tRNA from 1 species
GAGGGUGAAGCUCAGGGGUAGAGUGCAUGCUUAGCAUGCACGAGGGCCUGGAUUCGAUCCCCAGUAUCUCCA